GGGGUACAGCUCGGUGGUAAAGCACAUGCUUAGUAUGCUUGAGGCCCUGGGUUUGAGUCCCAGUACACACA
rnacentral:tRNA from 1 species